rnacentral:sRNA from 1 species
CAUUCCUGACGACCCCUGCCGCCAUUUUCUUCUUGAUUUUGCCCAGUCAGAGCCUGCUCAGAACUUCUGUGGGCCAUAUUCAGAACUUUUCAAAGGAUUCAUACAGGCAUGUAGAAAACAGGCCCCAAAGACAGAUAUAGUUGCUGGUUCCACUAUUGAUCAAGCUGUGAACGCCACCUUUGCUGCUCUGGUGUAUCGCACUCCAGAUUUAUAUGAGAAGCUGCAAAAAUAUGUCAACAGUGGAGGCAAAAUAGCCCUGAGUGAAGAGUUUGCCCAGGUUUAUUCCUUGGCAGAUGGGAUUCGAAUAUGGAUGUUAGAGAUGAAGCAGAAGUCCCUGAUGAGCCUGGGGAAUGAAGCAGAAGAAAAACAUAGUUCAGAAGCUACUGAGGCGAACCCUGAGAGCCUGGCAAAAGAGUGUAUUGAGAAGAGUCUUCUAUUACUGAAAUUUCUGCCCACGGGUAUAAGUUCAAAAGAAAGCUGCGAAAAGUUGGAGACUGCCGAUGAAACCAAUCAUCUCCAUCCACUCGACAAGCGUCAGAGGACAAGCUCUGUGGUGGAAGAGCAUUUCCAAGCCUCAGUAUCUCCCACUGAAGCAGCACCCCCUGCCACAGGAGACCGGAGUCCUGGCCUGGACACCCAGCCAAAGCUACCGUCCAGCAGUGGCCUUCCUGCUGCAGACGUGUCCCCUGCCACAGCUGAAGAGCCCUUGUCACCUUCCACACCCACCCGCCGGCCUCCCUUCACCCGAGGGCGACUCCGGCUGCUCUCCUUUCGAUCCAUGGAGGAGGCCAGACUGGUGCCCACAGUGAAAGAGAAAUACCCUGUGCUGAAGGAUGUCAUGGACUUCAUUAAGGAUCAGUCGCUCUCGCACAGGAGUGUUGUGAAGGUUCUUUCCCUGAGGAAAGCCCAGGCCCAGAGCAUCCUGGAAGUCCUGAAGAUAACUCAGUACUGUGCAGAAUCCCUUGGGCAGCCCCACUGCUUCCAUCCACCUUUCAUACUUUUCCUGUUGGAGCUUCUGACCUGCCAGAAAGAUUUUACCAAUUAUUUUGGACACCUGGAAGGCUGUGGUGCUGAUCUACACAAAGAAAUUCGAGACACUUACUAUCAACUUGUUCUGUUUUUGGUCAAAGCAGUUAAAGGAUUUAGUAGCCUAAGUGACAGGUCCUUGCUCCCUGCCUUAUCUUGUGUUCAGACAGCCCUGCUUCAUCUUUUGGAUAUGGGCUGGGAACCCAGUGAUCUCGCCUUCUUUGUUGAUAUUCAGUUACCAGAUCUCCUCAUGAAAAUGUCACAGGAAAAUAUAAGUGUCCAUGACAGUGUGAUCAGCCAAUGGAGUGAAGAAGAUGAGCUUGCUGAUGCCAAGCAGAAUUCAGAAUGGAUGGAUGAGUGUCAGGAUGGCAUGUUUGAGGCCUGGUAUGAAAAAAUAGCCCAGGAAGAUCCAGAGAAGCAGAGGAAAAUGCACAUGUUUAUUGCUCGCUACUGUGACCUGUUAAAUGUGGACAUCUCUUGUGAUGGGUGUGAUGAGAUUGCCCCCUGGCAUCGAUACCGCUGUCUGCAGUGCAGUGACAUGGAUCUCUGCAAAACUUGCUUCCUAGGUGGGGUGAAGCCUGAGGGCCACGGAGACGACCAUGAAAUGGUCAACAUGGAGUUUACCUGUGACCACUGCCAGGGUUUGAUCAUAGGCCGGAGGAUGAAUUGCAAUGUUUGCGAUGACUUUGAUCUUUGCUAUGGAUGCUAUGCAGCGAAGAAAUAUUCCUAUGGCCAUUUGCCUACCCACAGCAUCACGGCCCACCCAAUGGUAACCAUUCGGAUCAGUGACCGGCAGAGGCUCAUCCAGCCAUAUAUCCAUAACUACUCCUGGCUGCUCUUUGCUGCCCUGGCUCUCUAUAGCGCCCACCUGGCCAGUGCAGAGGAUGUGGAUGGGGAGAAGCUGGACCCCCAGACCCGUAGCAGUGCCACCACCCUGCGGAGCCAGUGCAUGCAGCUCGUCGGGGACUGUCUGAUGAAGGCUCAUCAGGGAAAAGGCCUUAAAGCUCUAGCUCUGCUGGGUGUAUUGCCAGAUGGGGACUCGAGCCCAGAAGAUCAGGCCCUACCAGUCGCUGUGCCCACCCGAGCGUCAGAGGAGCAGCUAGAGAAGAAAGCUGUCCAGGGUGCUGAGCUGUCAGAAGCAGGCAAUGGAAAGAGAGCUGUUCAUGAGGAAGUCAGACCUGUUGAUUUCAAGCAGAGAAAUAAGGCAGAUAAAGGUGUAUCAUUAACGAAGGAUCCUUCAUGCCAGACCCAAAUUUCAGAUUCACCUGCAGAUGCUAGCCCACCUAUAGGACUUCCAGAUGCUGAAGAUUCGGAAGCUUCAUCUCAGAAGCCCAUAGAGGAAAAAGCAGUCACUCCAAGCCCUGAGCAAGUGUUUGCUGAGUGUUCCCAGAAGAGGAUUUUGGGAUUACUAGCAGCCAUGUUACCUCCCUUAAAGUCGGGCCCCACAGUUCCCCUGAUAGACCUGGAGCACGUCCUUCCACUCAUGUUUCAGGUUGUCAUCUCAAACGCAGGCCACCUGAAUGAAACCUACCAUCUCACCCUGGGUCUUCUCGGCCAGUUAAUUAUCCGUCUUUUGCCAGCAGAGGUAGACGCCGCAGUGAUCAAAGUCCUCUCAGCCAAACACAACCUGUUUGCUGCAGGGGACAGUUCCAUUGUGCCAGAUGGCUGGAAAACCACCCACCUGCUCUUUAGCCUGGGAGCUGUGUGUCUGGACAGGUAGCCUUGGUCCUCACUCCUCUAACCACCUGCCCUGUAUCCCACCUUGGUGUUUAUUUGUUUAAGUUGAAGGUCUGGCUGUUGAUUAAUUUCAGUGUGCUACAGUUCUGUUGUCUGAGAGUUUUGUGGAAAUACAAUUAGGUUCAUGAGCAAUGCUGUCAACCCACAUUAAAACUGUGCUUAACACCAACGUUAAAACAGCUGAGCAGUCUCAACGCUGGCUGCUGAUUCAACUCUCUAAUGAGGCAUAUUCUGUUUUUUACGAGCAGUAAGUGUGGGCCUUGAGGUUGAAGCAAAUAAAUGUAUUUUCGUUAUAAAAGUAACAUAACCACAACACCAAAUUUGGAAAACAGAAAUGAAGGAAUAAGCUGGGCACAGUGGCUCACAUCUGUAAUCCCAGCACUUUGGGAGGCUGAGGCGGGUGGAUCACGAGGUCAGGAGUUCGAGACCAGCCUGGCCAACAUAGUGAAAACCUGUCUCUACU